CGAAAAAUGUCCCAGAGCUAAUACCCUUCAGAAAGUCAGAGGUGAGAGGAGGAACUAGAGUUCAAGGCAAAGAUCUGGGAAGCGGGAGAGGGCAGAAGCAAGUCACAGGAAGGCAGGCAUUUAAGACAUGCGGAGAGUGGCCUUCUGAGAGAGCAGAGGGAAGGUGGAUGGCAGCUCCGUGAUCAUGUGCUGUCGAAUCAAUCCUUGGGGAGAAGAGGAGCUGAAAAAAUAUUUGGGAGCUAUCACAGGAGGUGUCUUCUGAGCUGCUGUGGAGUGGAUGGAGAUGACGAAGGCCGUCGUGGACACUGAUUUGUAGCAGGGGAGAUGCGAACAUGGUGAAAUUAUGAUGGAGGGAAGAUGGUGACGGUGAAUAUAGGCUGUACUUAGAUCCAGAAAGAGAAAAAUAGAUUAAAAAACAAAGCUUUCCCCCAGAUCAAGGGGCAGGUUCAGGGACCGUGCGCCACAACUACUGAGCCUGCGCUCUAGAGCCCGCGAGCCACAACUACGGAGCCCGUGUACCUAGAGCCUGUGCUCUGGAACAAGAGAAGCCACCGCAAUGAGAAGCCCGCGCACCGCAACGAAGAGCAGCCCCCGCUCGCCGCAACUAGAGAAAGCCUGCGUGCAGCAAUGAAGACCCAA